AGCAGCAUGGCGCAGAUGGAAGCGCGCGGGGCCCAUAUAUCUUGAGAAAGUGAAACCCCGAGGUCACUCGAUCGAAACGAGUUGCUGCUA